UGCUCUUUGCUUGCGCAACAACUGUCGACCCCUCAUCCAUUUCAUUUUUGCCCCAAUAGCAUGAUUGCUUUUGUUGGGCACGACCCUCGGUUCCUGCAUUGCCUACCCGGUGUGGAAAGGCUCGGUAGUUGUCCCUUCCCUCCUUGUUGCUUUUGCGGUUACAAGGUGGACCUUGAAGCAGUUCCUGUGUGCCGGACCCGGCUUACGGCAUACGUCUCGGCCCACGGGUCUUCUGCUAGUGCUCUCGGAUGUGGUAAACUUUGCGGACAGUCGGGGUCUCGUCCUCCGGUUGCUCCGAAUCAAGUCCCUCAACAAAGAAUGACUCUCGCAACCACRUUGACCAUGUGCCAAUCGGGCCGGUGGUAUCAAUGCUGUCGUGAAGUCGGWAAAGAAUGCUACCUGGUUGAUCCUGCCAGUAGUCAUAUGCUUGUCUCAAAKAUUAAGCCWUGCAUGUGUAAGUA
rnacentral:misc_RNA from 1 species